UACGAAGGGUGCAAGCGUUACUCGGAAUUACUGGGCGUAAAGCGUGCGUAGGUGGUUCGUUAAGUCUGAUGUGAAAGCCCUGGGCUCAACCUGGGAAUGGCAUUGGAAACUGGCGACCUAGAGUGCGGUAGAGGGUAGUGGAAUUCCCGGUGUAGCAGUGAAAUGCGUAGAGAUCGGGAGGAACAUCUGUGGCGAAGGCGACUGCCUGGACCAGCACUGACACUGAGGCACGAAAGCGUGGGGAGCGAACCGG
rnacentral:rRNA from 1 species